GUUGAGGUCCAUCCUGAUGGGGCUUUUUCUAUAAACCUACAUCAUUGGAAAUGCCUCAUAGAGUAACUCUACGGUUUCCUUUACUCAAGAACUACAUGUUAGAUCUGUGGGAAAAAACAAGACAGAU
rnacentral:snoRNA from 1 species